UCUAUUGGUGAGCCGCGAUUCUCUCCUUUUUGUGAAAUGUUCUGAGGGAUUGCUCCAGAUCUCUCGACCUUUUAUUUUACAUAUUUGAUUGACUGUUGUUUAACAAAUUGAAAGUUUUGGAUCAGAAAUGAUUCAAGACGAUAAAAUUUCAAAACAACUUUAAGCAAUGGAUCACUUGGUUCUCGCAUCGAUGAAGAGCGUAGCAAAUUGCGAAAAGUAAUGCGAUCUGCAGCCUUUGCGAAUCAUCGAAUUCUCGAACGCACCUUGCACCCUUUGGUUCAUCCAUUGGGUACGUCUAGUUCAGUAUCUUUAUUAACCCCUAAAGGUUUAUUUUUUGAUAAAUCUUUGGAUUUGCGGUGCUGAUGGAUUUUCAUCCGUUCAAGCUACCCGAACAAUUUGUAUGUUGUUGACCCUUGAUAUUUCCUUGAGGGCUUGCAUUGGUAUCUAAUUUUUUACCAGUGUGCUUCGAGAUGAUCAAGUAUAAAGGUCAAUCAACCACAAAU
rnacentral:rRNA from 1 species